rnacentral:rRNA from 1 species
CUGCAUGGCUGUCGUCAGCUCGUGUCGUGAGAUGUUGGGUUAAGUCCCGCAACGAGCGCAACCCUUGUCAUCAGUUGCCGCAUUGAGUUGGGCACUCUGAUGAGACUGCCGGUGACAAACCGGAGGAAGGUGGGGAUGACGUCAAGUCCUCAUGGCCCUUAUAGGUGGGGCUACACACGUCAUACAAUGGCCGGUACAGAGGGCAAGCCAACCCGCGAGGGGGAGCCAAUCCCAAAAAGCCGGUCGUAGUCCGGAUCGCAGUCUGCAACUCGACUGCGUGAAGUCGGAAUCGCUAGUAAUCGCGGAUCAGAACGCCGCGGUGAAUACGUUCCCGGGUCUUGUACACACCGCCCGUCACACCAUGGGAGCGGGUUCUGCCAGAAGUAGUUAGCCUAACCGCAAGG